GGGAUGUUAGCUCAGCAGGCAGAGCAGACGGCUCAUAACCGUCCGGUCACGGGUUCGAUCCCCCUACAUCCCA
rnacentral:tRNA from 1 species